rnacentral:rRNA from 1 species
AGAGUUUGAUCCUGGCUCAGGAUGAACGCUAGCGGCAGGCUUAACACAUGCAAGUCGAGGGGCAGCAUGGGGAGUAGCAAUACUCUCUGAUGGCGACCGGCGCAAGGGUGCGUAACGCGUGAGCAACUUGCCCUCAUCAGGGGAAUAAUCGCUGGAAACGGCGUCUAAUGCCCCAUGGCGAUGGAAUCAGGCAUCUGGUUCCAUCUAAAGAUCCGUCGGAUGAGGAUAGGCUCGCGUGACAUUAGCUUGACGGCGGGGUAACGGCCCACCGUGGCGACGAUGUCUAGGGGUUCUGAGAGGAAGGUCCCCCACACUGGAACUGAGACACGGUCCAGACUCCUACGGGAGGCAGCAGUGAGGAAUAUUGGUCAAUGGCCGGAAGGCUGAACCAGCCAUGCCGCGUGAAGGUCAGUGCCCUAUGGGCGUUAAACUUCUUUUGUGCGGGAGCAAUAAGGUCCACGUGUGGACCGACGAGAGUACCGUACGAAUAAGCAUCGGCUAACUCCGUGCCAGCAGCCGCGGUAAUACGGGGGAUGCAAGCGUUAUCCGGAUUUAUUGGGUUUAAAGGGUGCGUAGGCUGUGAGGUAAGUCAGCGGUGAAAUGCCCCCGCUCAACGGGGUGAAGUGCCAUUGAUACUGCCUUGCUGGAAUGCGGAUGCCGUGGGAGGAAUGUGUGGUGUAGCGGUGAAAUGCAUAGAUAUCACACAGAACACCGAUUGCGAAGGCAUCUCACGAAUCCGCGAUUGACGCUGAUGCACGAAAGCGUGGGUAUCAAACAGGAUUAGAUACCCUGGUAGUCCACGCUGUAAACGAUGAUGACUAACCGUCGGCGAUACACAGUCGGUGGCCAAGCGAAAGCGAUAAGUCAUCCACCUGGGGAGUACGGCCGCAAGGCUGAAACUCAAAGGAAUUGACGGGGGCCCGCACAAGCGGAGGAACAUGUGGUUUAAUUCGAUGAUACGCGAGGAACCUUACCCGGGCUCGAACGGCAGCUGAAUAUUCCAGAGAUGGGAUAGUCUUCGGACAGUUGUCGAGGUGCUGCAUGGUUGUCGUCAGCUCGUGCUGUGAAGUGUCGGCUUAAGUGCCAUAACGAGCGCAACCCUUGCCUUCAGUUGCCAUCAGGUUAAGCUGGGGACUCUGGAGGGACUGCCACCGCAAGGUGCGAGGAAGGGGGGGAUGACGUCAAAUCAGCACGGCCCUUACGUCCGGGGCGACACACGUGUUACAAUGGCAGGUACAGAGGGGUGCUACCGGGCGACCGGAUGCCGAUCUCGAAAACCUGUCCCAGUUCGGACUGGAGUCUGCAACCCGACUCCACGAAGUUGGAUUCGCUAGUAAUCGCGCAUCAGCCAUGGCGCGGUGAAUACGUUCCCGGGCCUUGUACACACCGCCCGUCAAGCCAUGGGAGCCGGGGGUACCUGAAGUGCGUAACCGCGAGGAGCGCCCUAGGGUAAAACUGGUGACUGGGGCUAAGUCGUAACAAGGUAGCCGUACCGGAAGGUGCGGCUG